rnacentral:rRNA from 1 species
AGCAGCCGCGGUAAUUCCAGCUCCAAUAGCGUAUAUUAAAGUUGUUGCAGUUAAAAAGCUCGUAGUUGAACUUCGGGGUUUACCCAUUGGUCAGGCUUAAUUGUCUGUACUGGUGAGAUAAAUCUCUACCUUCUGAGGAACUUUCAUGCCAUUUAGUUGGUGUGAUAGGAAAUCAGGACUGUUACUUUGAAAAAAUUAGAGUGUUUAAAGCAGGCUAACGUCUGAAUACAUUAGCGUGGAAUAAUGAAAUAGGACGGAUUGGUUCUAUUUCGUUGGUUUCUAGGAUCACCGUAAUGAUUAAUAGGGAUAGUUGGGGGCAUGAGUAUUCAAUUGUCAGAGGUGAAAUUCUUGGAUUUAUUGAAGACUAACUAUUGCGAAAGCAUUUGCCAAGGAUGUUUUCAUUAAUCAAGAACGAAGGUUAGGGGAUCGAAGACGAUCAGAUACCGUCGUAGUCUUAACCAUAAACUAUGCCGACUAGGGAUCGGACGAAGUUAAUUUUAUAAUGACGCGUUCGGCACCU